rnacentral:rRNA from 1 species
CAGCCUGNUGCAGCCAUGCCGCGUGUAUGAAGAAGGCCUUCGGGUUGUAAAGUACUUUCAGCAGUGAGGAAGGGGGUAUCGUUAAUAGCGGUAUCUUUUGACGUUAGCUGCAGAAGAAGCACCGGCUAACUCCGUGCCAGCAGCCGCGG